rnacentral:rRNA from 1 species
UGGGGAAUAUUGCACAAUGGACGGAAGUCUGAUGCAGCAACGCCGCGUUCGGGAUGACGGCCUUCGGGUUUUAAACCGCUUUUUCUCAUGACGAAGUUUUUUGACGGUAGUGGGGGAAGAAGCACCGGCUAACUACGUGCCAGCCGCCGCGGUGAUACGUAGGGUGCGAGCGUUGUCCGGAAUUAUUGGGCGUAAAGAGCUUGUAGGCGGUUUGUCGCGUCGAUAGUGCAAACUCAGUGCUUAACGCUGAGCCUGCUGUUGAUACGGGCAGACUAGAGGAAGGUAGGGGAGAAUGAAAUUCCCGGUGGGGCGGUGGAAUGCGCAGAUAUCGGGAGGAACACCGGUGGCGAAGGCGGUUAUCUGGGCCUUUCCGGACGCUGAGAAGCGAAGGCGUGGGAAGCGAACAGG